GCAGCGGAGCUCACGGGGGCCAUCUUUAGCUGCUUCGGUAAUCUCUCUAAGGAAGCUCCGCAUCUGAGCAUUUUCCCGGUUAUCUACAACUGCUUAUGCAGCGAAGGUGACGAUUAUGACCGAAGGGCUGAAAGAAGAUCCAAAGAUUACCGAAGCUGAUAAAGAUGUCUGCCUUGAGCUCCACUGCGCUGACUCUGCAACAAGGGGUAUUUACCGGCUAUGGGGUAUUUACUUGUGUUAACUCCUGUGCGGGGGGGGAGCAGGGAGGGGGGGACUAUGGAGGAUAGGGGUAGGGGGUUUUAUUAGAAACGGGGUUUAGUUCUCCUUUAAUAAUAACUCAUCCCACCAGCAGCCACAGAUAAAUGUUCAUUAUCCAUUCAAAACAGAAAGCAAGAGCCGUGGUUUAGCUAGAUGUUACUGGGCCCCCAAUAUAUUCAGAGGUUGAACUAUUUUACCAAUAUAUAUUGAAAUUGCUCAUUAAUUAGGGCCUCAUGGGGCCCCCUUAUACCCCCUGGGCCCCCCUGCAGUCUGUAACUCUGUAGUUACAUCCCUGAGCAUGAGUAAGAGAAAGAGAAAAUUCAGAGCAGCUACAUGGAUUUAUUUCACCCCUACAGUGACUCUUUGAGAUGCAAAGAAUAGGCGCUAGAUAGCUUGCCUAGGAAAAAAAAAAGAGGGUCCUAAUAAGAGGCACCUCUAUGCAAACUGAGUAAAGGUAAUAUAACUAGUGGAGUGUGGGGAAUAAUAAUUAAAACAAAAGCCAAGCUAGGAUGUGCAAAUAUUUGUAAAAACUAUAACAAUUCUUGUUAAUAUUACUAAUGAAUUAUUUUGUGAGGUUAGCUGAGGGUAGUUAUCUGGAGAUCCUGGCCUUAUAGUAAUGAGCAAGGUGUAAAAUUAUCACCAUCAAGGGUGUCAGGUAAUAAGAGAGAGAAUUGAAGCGUUAUGAUAAUAAGUCUGAGAUUAGAAUAUAUUAAAUAUAGAAGCUUUGGAUUUCUUUAUUACAUAAAUCUGAAAUAUAGUCUGAAUAUGUAGGGGAAGAUUGCUGAACCCUACAAUUAUAAGAGUACUCUGCCAUGUUUCCCUAUAAACCUGACUAAAUGAUACAAAACAUGCUGCAGAUCAAGGUAAACUCUGACAAAAUUACCAUGGAACUUGAUAUCAAGGUGGAUUUUGUCCCAACACAUUUAGUCGACUAAAUCCUGAUUUACCCACGUUGCCUCCUUAGUCAUUACAUUUAGCCAGGACUGAGAAGUUAGAUUUCUGCAGAACAGAUUGAGCAAUAUUUUAGCAUGAUUAGGCCUUUUGUACUUUCAGAUAACAUCUCAAUUUAGUAGUGUUAAAUACAUUAGAAAAUAACUUGUUAGUCAUAUUCUGGUGUUUUGAUACGUCCUGUUCUUUUUCCAUUGUUACCUGAUGACCAUGUUUUUAUCCUUCCUGCUCAUUCUUGAGUGUCUUUUUAGUUUCACCUUUCUUCUGUUUCGCAUUAGACAGCACUGACUGUGCACACUUACUCACGAGGAGGACACAGUGAUCAUGCCUUUAAUCCUUUGUACACCUGUGAAUGAAACUGGACGAAGUCAAACAGCGGCUGAAUCACUAGUUUUCCUUUCUUUGUGUUUGUUCCAUUUUUAAAAAAGAUCAGUUUACUUCUGCAUUCCAUUCUAAUAUGUCAUAUAAAAGGAGCAAUUGAUUACAAAGUGACUAGGAAACAAUUGUCAGACUUCAAGUUUAUUCUGUUUCAGGGAUUACAUUCAAGUGUUUUGUUAGCUCAACUAAGGUUUAUGUCAUAUUAGGCAAUGCCACUCCAUUCCACCGCAAGUGUGUAUUAAAGUGAUACUGACACCAGAAAUUAAACAUUUAUUUUACAUCUAUCAUAACAUUGUCUUUGCAUACUAUUCAUUAUUUUGCCAUAAAAAUAUUUGCCAAAUGCUUUUAUAUUAUCAGAUCCCCCAAGUUCCUCUAUGAUGGGGCUUCCAUAUUUGUGCAGCAGGAGUCCGUUAGCAUUAGAAGCUAUAACUGACAGGUUGAGAAGGGACAGUCCAUUUGACAAAAUAGUCAGGUUUAGGAACUUUAAGUAACAAUUACUUACAAAAGUGUUAUCAGUAAACAUGAUCAACAUGACCUAUAGGUAACUUGUGUAGCACCCUAUUAUGUGUGCAGACUGUUUGAACAUUAUAAUGCGGGACUAUAAUUAGUAUUAAUGGACAAUGAAUUACUAAAUUGCUCCCUGAUGUGAUAAAACAGAGACUGCAAACGUUUGAUCUUUCUGGAGGCAGAACUAUUGCUUGGGGUUAAGAACUACAUUUCCAACAAGCCCUUGCUCCAGGAAGUGCAUGGAGACAGCCAAUAGGAGCCCAACCCAGGAACCGGAAGGGGAGGGGGAAUUAACCAGCAAGGAGGACUGUGCUGUGCUGGAAGACUUAGUGACUGGGGCAGUUGUGUUGCAGCCAGGAUUAGUGAUUAGCCAGAAAGAGAAACUGUCACUAAUCUGCAGAGGAAGACACUGCAGUUUUGCUGAAAGUUGAUUCCUGUUAUUCCCUGGAGGGAAGGUGCACAAGGUCCCAGUAGCCAGUGUGAUCCUGGGUUGUGGCCUUCCAGCCAUUUUUGAUCAGGAGGAAAAUCCAGUGAGAGGAGAAGCAGAGUUCCUGAUAAACUGACUUCAGCUUUGUCUAUUUUCGUGGCUUGGGGUCUUUUCACCGAUUCAGGACGUCAUCUUCGGCUAUUUUCGUGACUUCAGGUCUUUUCACUGUUUCGGGACUUCGGCUGUUCAGCUUUUCGGCGGUUUGGGACUUCAGAAGAGGCGCCACUGCUUUGAAAAGUGCAGCACAGCUGGGCCCAGUGCAGGAGUACCCCCUGUGCCCCCCCUGAUGGCGGCCCUGCUCCUGACGAAUACGUUGUAUACUCCUGACAAAUAAAAAAAUUAUAAUAGCAAAUACA